rnacentral:snoRNA from 1 species
ACCCUUUCAAAGUCACACCUGGAGAAUUUCCAGUACUCUCCCAGCCUCGACUACAGGAGGGAAAGUCAAGCAGAGGCAUAUCCGUUCCAUUCCUAGCUUGGGCAGUGGCUAGUGAGUGGAAGGCAAUCUGUUACAAGA